UACGGAGGGUGCGAGCGUUGUCCGGAAUCAUUGGGCGUAAAGGGCGCGUAGGUGGCCCGGUCAGUCUUUGGUGAAAGCGCGGGGCUCAACCCUGCGUCGGCCAGGGAUACUGCCGCGGCUCGAGCACUGUAGAGGCAGGCGGAAUUCCGGGUGUAGCGGUGGAAUGCGUAGAGAUCCGGAAGAACACCGGUGGCGAAGGCGGCCUGCUGGGCAGUUAGCUGACACUGAGGCGCGACAGCGUGGGGAGCAAACAGGGU
rnacentral:rRNA from 1 species